AAUGCAUAAGCGAAAAACUGCUGCCCAGGAAAAGCAUUGGCAGCCAAUGUUUUUGAUUGGUUUGAAUGCAAUACAGAGUCAUGUCUAAAAAUGGCCUGUAGAGAAACAAAAGCCGGGUGGGCAUAUGACAAAUAAUGUUACAGUUAAUACACACACCACGGUUUGUUCAUCAGCUUCUUAAUAUGACAUCAAUUGACAGGGAUUUUCAUUCUAACCUUCAAUUGUCUUGUACUUCCUACUG
rnacentral:misc_RNA from 1 species